rnacentral:piRNA from 1 species
UAUUUUAGUGUGUUUUUUGCAACCUUGC